rnacentral:rRNA from 1 species
UACAGAGGUCUCAAGCGUUGUUCGGAUUCAUUGGGCGUAAAGGGUGCGUAGGUGGCGCGGUAAGUCGGGUGUGAAAUCUCGGAGCUUAACUCCGAAAUUGCAUUCGAUACUGCCGUGCUUGAGGACUGGAGAGGAGACUGGAACUCAUGGUGUAGCAGUGAAAUGCGUAGAGAUCAUGAGGAAGACCAGUGGCGAAGGCGGGUCUCUGGACAGUUCCUGACACUGAGGCACGAAGGCCAGGGGAGCAAACGGG